GACGGGCCCCGCACAAGCAGCGGAGCGUGUGGUUUAAUUCGAUGUUACGCGAAGAACCUUUACCUGGGUUUGACAUGCUAGUGGUAAUGAAGCGAAAGCUAAGUGACCCGCAAGGGAGCUAGCACAGGUGCUGCAUGGCUGUCGUCAGCUCGUGUCGUGAGAUGUUCGGUUAAGUCCGCUAACGAGCGCAACCCUCGCUGUGUGUUACAAGUGUCACACAGGGACCGCCGGUCUUAAAGCCGGAGGAAGGUGGGGAUGACGUCAAGUCAGCAUGGCCUUUAUGUCCAGGGCUACACACACGCUACAAUGGUCAGCACAAUAGGUAGCCAAGCCGCGAGGUGGAGCCAAUCCUCAAAGCUGGCCUCAGUUCAGAUCGCAGGCUGCAACCCGCCUGCGUGAAGCCGGAGUUGCUAGUAACCGCAGGUCAGCUAUACUGCGGUGAAUACGUUCCCGGGGCUU
rnacentral:rRNA from 1 species